UCAUGGUUGAGUGGUAAGGACCCUUGCCUCUCAUGGACGAGUUCCGGGUUCGAUUCCCGGUUGAAGAG